AUGUGUGACGCCUCCCCGUCGGUGGAGCUCCUCUGCCUGGUCACCGCCUUCGCCUCGCCCCCCGUCGAGGUCACCUGGUUGGCUGACGGCCACACCCUGGCGCUGGCCCCGCCCGCCGAGCUGCCCGCCCCCGACGAGGUGCCGGGAACCUUCCGGCUGCUCUCCCGGGUCAACGUGUCGCUGGAGGAUUGGCAAGAGCGGAGCUUCUCGUGCCGCGUUGCCCACCCGGCCUCAGCCACCGUUCAAGAGGUCGCCGCCCACAAGUGUGUCGGCGGCUCCUCCUCCUCUCCCGGCGGCGUCGGCGUCUUCCUGGUAGGGCCGUCGCCGUCGUCGCUCUACGUGGUGCAGACCUGCUUGGCCACCAGCCUGCCCAGCGAGGAGGAGCUGACGGUGACGUGGAGCCGGAGCGGCGUCGGCGGGGGGAAGUUGAGGCCCCUCCCGCUGCAGUUGACGCCGCACGUCAACAGGAUGUUCACCACUGCCAGCGAGUUGCCGAUGCCAGCGCCGGUCGUCAAGAGGGUGAAGAGGAGGUCGGGCCGGUGCCUCCCCCUCAGCGUGUUCCUGCUGCCCCCUCCCCCCGAGGAGGUGGCGGGUCCCAGCCCCACUCUGAGCCUGACCUGCCUCGUACGCGGCUUUUAUCCCGAAUCCAUCGACGUCCAGUGGCAGAAGGGGCUGGAAAAGCUGGAAUCGGGCAUGGUGACGUCACCGGCGCGCCGGGAAAACCCAGGAAUCCCGGGGAGGAGGGGCUGUUCUUCCUCUACUCCCGCCUGGAAUUGCGGUGGGAAGAGUGGGAAAAAGGGGGAGCGGCCUUCGUCUGCACCACUGUGCACGAGGCGCUGCCCCUGCGCUUCGUCCAGCGCGCCCUCCACCCCCAGCCCGGUAAUCAGUUAAUUAGAGUCAUUAAUUAAUUAAUUGGGGCGAUUUUCGGGCGAUUUUUUUGGGGUUUUUGGGGUUUUUUUUGGGGAAUUUCUGGGGGUUGGAAUAAAGGCGAUGAUGUCAAAGAUGGUGGAUUUAUGGUGGUUUGGAGGUUAAUUAUGUUAAUUAAGUUAAUUAGGUGUUAAUUAGGGUCGAUUUUUGGGAGGAGUUUUGACAAUUUUGGGGCGAUUUUUGGGGG